rnacentral:ncRNA from 1 species
UAGUUUGAUUUUGGCUACUUUAUUGACUAUAAUAAAAUAUAAUACAUGCAAUCUUCCGAUUACCCGUGAAACGACUUCUCCCCUUAAAGCAUUAAUCUAAUUAUCAAUGGAUAAGUAUCACUAAUCUCCAGUUUCACGCCUGCAGUAAAGCAUUUUGCCCUAAAUUAAACUUAUAUUACAGAUAUUAUAUUAAGUACUGACAAAAUUCGUGCCAGCCGUCGCGGUUAAACGAUAAGUACAAGCCAAUAAUUUUACGGAGAUGUAUUGAUAUAAAUUAAAUAUUAUAGUGGUACAAUACGUAUAAUAAAAUAAAACUUAUAAAUAUCCCACUUUAACAAAAGAAUAAACAAAAACACGGAUUAGAUACCCUUUUAUCUUAUUCCUUCACCUCCUCUCCGGGCACUACGAACCCAUGUUUAAAACCUAAAAAAAUUGGCGGCACUUUAUGCUAUUAGGGGAAUCUGUCACAUCAUUCGCCAAUCCACGUUAAACCCCUCUUGUUAUAGAACUCAGCUUGUAUACCGCCGCCGCAAGCCAGCAUUAAGUUAAAAUCGCUGGCAAUAAAGACUUUUCUCUUGGACGCCAGGUCAAUGUGCAGCCUAUUAACAAGUUUAGAUGGAUUACAUUAAAUAUAAAACAGGUUGACAGUCAACAAUUUCUGUCAUAAUUCGGACUUAACAGUAAAAUACUAAUAGUAUGAGUAAUUGAACCCGCAAUUUAAAGUGUGCACAAAUCGCCCGUCACUCUCACCGAAAGGCGAGAUAAGUCGUAACAUAGUAGGCGUAACUGAAGUUGUGCCUU